rnacentral:rRNA from 1 species
GAUGAACGCUAGCGGGAGGCUUAACACAUGCAAGUCGAGGGGCAGCAUAGGGUAGCAAUACUCUGAUGGCGACCGGCAAACGGGUGAGUAACGCGUAUGCAACCUACCCUGUACAGGGGGAUAACCCGGAGAAAUUCGGACUAAUAUCCCGUAAUAAUAUCCGGAGGCAUCUUUGGAUAUUUAAAGUUUCGACGGUACGGGAUGGGCAUGCGUAACAUUAGCUGGUUGGUAAGGUAACGGCUUACCAAGGCUAUGAUGUUUAGGGGUCCUGAGAGGGUGGUCCCCCACACUGGUACUGAGACACGGACCAGACUCCUACGGGAGGCAGCAGUGAGGAAUAUUGGUCAAUGGGCGCAAGCCUGAACCAGCCAUCCCGCGUGCAGGAAGACGGCCCUAUGGGUUGUAAACUGCUUUUCCAGGGAGAGAAACUUACGCACGUGUUGCGUGACUGACGGUACCCUGGGAAUAAGCAAUCGGCUAACUCCGUGCCAGCAGCCGCGGUAAAACACGGAGAGUA